AGAGCGAACGCUGGCGGCAGGCUUAACACAUGCAAGUCGAACGGACCCUUCGGGGUUAGUGGCGGACGGGUGAGUAACACGUGGGAACGUGCCUUUUGGUUCGGAACAACACAGGGAAACUUGUGCUAAUACCGGAUGUGCCCUUCGGGGGAAAGAUUUAUCGCCAUUAGAGCGGCCCGCGUCUGAUUAGCUAGUGGUGGGGUAAAGGCCUACCAAGGCUACGAUCAGUAGCUGGUCUGAGAGGAUGACCAGCCACAUUGGGACUGAGACACGGCCCAAACUCCUACGGGAGGCAGCAGUGGGGAAUCUUGCGCAAUGGGCGAAAGCCUGACGCAGCCAUGCCGCGUGAAUGAUGAAGGUCUUAGGAUUGUAAAAUUCUUUCACCGGGGACGAUAAUGACGGUACCCGGAGAAGAAGCCCCGGCUAACUUCGCGCCAGCAGCCGC
rnacentral:rRNA from 1 species